UUUUACUGGGGGUCAGGCCAGCUCUAGGGACUGUAAAGGAUUUGAUCUAAACCGGAAUAAACACCAGGGUUAGUCUGCUGUGGUGGGCAUGGUUACAUGGGGCCAGCCAAACACAUUAUUCUGGACCGAUGAAAAAUAUGCUUUAAAACAGAGUAGGCAUCCCACGUUGCACCUCAGCACAGCUAUACCUCUGCAAAUCCAUUUACAGCCACCCACUCUGUUAAUUCACCUUCCUAAGAUUGUUCUGUGGAAGCUGACCCAUAGGGACAUGCAAGACCACAUCUGUAACCUGCUCAGCGGUGAAACACCCAGCCCAGCUGCUGGCUGGUUACAGCCAUGGUGGUGCUUGUAACUGAAAGGGCUGUGGUGAAACCAGACUAAAUGUGUAGCUAAUAUGGUGAUGGGAUCACAUCGACUCAGAGCCUAGUGAUCUUCCACAGAAGCUAUAAGAUUGUGUGGCAAUCUGAGAAGGAUUAAUGAGGGAUGUGGUGGUCCCUCCUUCCUGCAGCUGUGACCACUUACAGGCAGCUCCUAGAAAAGGACCAGAGUUGGGUGGGGGCUGUGGUGGAUGAAGGAGUAAAAGCUCUCAGGCAGGACAGCUGAGGAGUGUUUGAGAAGUAAAAGGGAAUUUUGGGGAUGAUUUUAUCCCUUGUGCUGUCUGGAGGGGGAACUGAUGGCUAUGGAAGUAGAGGAGCUAAGGACUAAAAAGCCCCUGAAUGCUGGAGCUGUGUUGGUGUCCCAUUUUCUUUCACCUCCUCUCCCCCUAAGCUAUAGCGGGCUGCUCCUCUUUGCAAGCUCCAUGUGUGUGGUGCUGAGACAUUGACACCUACCCCAGAUGGCCAUGAACAUGGCAAAUAAAACUGUCCCCUCGUUGUCAAUCAUGUGAGUGACCUGGAGAAGAUCAAGGAAGAAUGUGAUGGGGACACCAAGGAGCACCUUGGGGCUGGGGAGAAGCCUCUGCACUCAGUAGUCCUCUUGCUGCCCUGAUCUCCCAAGAGACAGAUCUCCUUGCUGGAGAGAAAGGAGUAGAGAGAAGCAAAGGGGAGUGACAGUGGUCAAAGCAAUAUGCACAGCAAAGGGUUGUGAAGGGCAUGUGCAUUUGGUGUUCUCAGCUGCCUUACCUCACCUGGCUGGAGUUGAAAACAGUAAUCCCAGCCACGAAGACCACCAGGCCGAUCAUCGCAGCGAACCCCAGCAGUUCUUUGGCGUGAUUCAUGGUGCAGCCCCGCAAACAGUUACGCUGCUGUUUCUAAGGGCACGGUGAUGCAGCACAGAAGUAAGAAGAAGCUGCUGGGGAAGGGGAUAUCAUCAGUCAGGAUUGCCACUGAAGACUUUGUGUCCCAAAACAGCGGCCAGACAGACGAGUUCAUCCAGCUGUAAUCUCGGGAGUGGAGCAGUGGUGGUGCAACCAAGUCCUGAUGUAAGAUCUGGAUCCCAAGCUUCCACUGAAGAAUGAGGCCAUGGGAGCCAGCGAGACUGAGAUGAGGAAAGGGCUGAAAUGCUCUGCCACAUACUUUCUAAUGUGGAGCCACGGCCCUGGCUUCACCCAGAGCAGAAGAGCAGUGGGGAGACUGAGAAAGUCAAAGCAAGAAGACUUGAGAAGAUGGAUCCCCCCCAUAGAGGCGCUGUUACGGUAAGAACCAGUGCUUCCCACUGCUGAAAGGUUCCUCAGUUAAAGCCAUGACACAAAGGGCAUUUGUGGUGCUAUCAUCUGCUCCAUCCAAGCCCUGAGCAGGCUUUGGGGUUGGGAGAAGUGAGUUUUCACUCUGGUUGGUUUCCCCAGAUGUUCCCAGACGCACCCCUACGCUGCUGUCCAACUGGUGUCAGCCCCAGCAGAGCUCAGGAGAAGGUGAACGGAUCUGCUAGUGUUGCAGCUUCUGUUUCCAGGUGGCUCCCACGCAUGUCAUCUGCACGCACGGUCCCCUACUGGGAGGCAAAGCAUCCUGACCAGCACUACCUACCCCAGAGAAAAGCUUGCUGAAGGGAUUACCGAGGUAGGUUCAUGCACGGGCAGCAUCCAGUCACGGGACUCAGUUCUUGAGGCCAGGCCAAGGGGCUGUGGAGUAUCGGGAGCUUCACCUGCAGACCCCGCGGUGCCACCAGCCCCUGAGUCCUGCUCUGUCCCUGCAGAGCUUCGGCAGAGCAUCCUCCCUCUGCCAGCACUCCCAGUCAUAACGUGGCCAGUCUCCUGGACCUAACGCUGCCAGAUCCUGCCCUUGCUUCUGCUUGUUCCUGAAACAGCAAGCGCUGAUUUUAAUCCCAAGAGGGACCUGUUACUUUUUAAUUUUCCCCAGAAUCAGUGGGGAUGCUUCUCAGGCCACCUGCGUACAGCUGUCUAGGCAAUAAGGAGGUUGUGGAAGCAGGGUCUGCAGCAGCUCGGCAGGCUUGUCUCUGUGUUCCCAUAGCAAUAGGAUUUACCACCUGGUCCCCCCUCUGCAGGCACUGUGAGUGCCUCUCUGUAGGACUGAAAAACGGGGAGGUGGGGGAAGGAUUUGCAAAUUAUUUGCAGAUCAGUGCAGAUAAUUCCCAGUGCCCACCUCUGGAGCGGUAACAGGCAAAAUUGCAUUCAGCUGCAGAGGGGGGGUUGCAGACCUGGGAUGACAGAAGGGUGGUGUUUCAGCAGGCUUAAUUCUCGGUGGCUGCUGACAUCCAUGCAAGCAGGGCUGAACGUGAGGCAAAGGCUGGGUUAAGCUUCCUCUGCUGGGGCCGUUGUGCAGGAGCCCUGCCUGCUUCUGAGGCCAGAUGUGUCUCGUGUGAAGGGACAGCUGCAGAAGGCAGGGACUUUGGAUCAUUAGGACUCCCACACCUAUUUCUCUGGCCCUGGGGACUGGCAGCACUAAUCUGGUGACAGCUGUUUUGCUCUGGAAGCACGAGGCAGCCAGGUCAGCCUCGUGUGUGGGCAAGGCUGCCUCAGCUCUGAAGCGGUUGUAUAAACCAUGGACUCUACUCCUUGCUAUCAAGAAGGACGGUUCCCAUUUAGCCCUUUUCCUGCGCUGUGCUUGGAGCAGGGUUGGACGCACGCUGUGCCAAGCUGUGGGAGAAGCAACCUGAACAAAGAGCAGUAUUUGCACUGUCAAGGAGGGUUUGCGUGCCCUGAAGUGUGCCAGUUUUCUCUCCAGCUGUACCAGUGGGUCCUUGGCUCCUUGUAGGCAGCCAGGUGUCGUGCUCCCUGUGCAAGGAGGUUACCAGAUCCUUUUGAGGUACCCUUGGGCUGGAAGUGUAGUCACCUACGUGAGUAACCGAGGCGAACCACCUGGGCAGGAUCCGGCAUCCUUGUUUUCCUUUCCAGCUGUAGGCUGGCGAAAGUUUGGGUGGUUCCUAUCACCUACACAAAGAUGACCGAACUGCUAUCUUGUCUUGGGGAUGAUUCCUACAAAUGCUUCCUGUGCUCUCCUCCCUUCCCCU